GACGAUGAUUAAAACUAUCCAACACAGACCUGUUCUGAAGCAACGUGUGGAUACCUUUAACAUGCAUCACCAUAUGAGU
rnacentral:snoRNA from 1 species